rnacentral:rRNA from 1 species
AGGAACGCGAAGAACCUUACCAGGUCUUGACAUCUUUUGAUCACCUGAGAGAUCAGGUUUCCCCUUCGGGGGCAAAAUGACAGGUGGUGCAUGGUUGUCGUCAGCUCGUGUCGUGAGAUGUUGGGUUAAGUCCCGCAACGAGCGCAACCCUUAUGACUAGUUGCCAGCAUUUAGUUGGGCACUCUAGUAAGACUACCGGUGACAAACCGGAGGAAGGUGGGGAUGACGUCAAAUCAUCAUGCCCCUUAUGACCUGGGCUACACACGUGCUACAAUGGAUGGUACAACGAGUUGCGAGACCGCGAGGUCAAGCUAAUCUCUUAAAGCCAUUCUCAGUUCGGACUGUAGGCUGCAACUCGCCUACACGAAGUCGGAAUCGCUAGUAAUCGCGGAUCAGCACGCCGCGGUGAAUACGUUCCCGGGUCUUGUA